CACGGCUCGGGGCUCUCAGGGCUUCCUUGGAGUUGCUGGGAGCGUCUGCUGUUAGCAGCAGUUGCUGCGGGAACUCUCCCGUGCUUUCAGCACUCGACCUCCGUUGUACUCUUGAGGGCUUCACCCGACGGCUGCGGGCUGCGGGCUGUGGAUGCGAUGGCAGUGGAUGCAAGUGAGCAGUCCCGUGAGAAGCUCCUUGUUUGCCAAGUUCCUGCCGUGAGGCUGUAGGACCGAGGCCCUCUUUAGCGCACCGCUACAGAGCCAUAGGAAUCUGGGAUGCUUCUGCACACACGCCUGCAGUUCCCGUUCUGGCAGCGGCUCGGUGCAAGCGCAGGCCCAAGGGAGAUGUCAGCUGCGGAGACGUGCCCUUCCUCCACAGCACGGGAAAGCAAGUCGGGGAGAAGAGCUGGAGGCAGCUGAACCUAUAUGAGAAAAUGGAACGGAGAGAGCCUGCGAAGGAGGAGAUCCCUGAGAAAAAGCGCAACACCAGCCAGAAGCUCAGCCUCGGAUACCUGCACAUGGCCGUCAGACAGAAGACGGGCAUGAAGACGAGAGCAGGGUCAGACCCUAAAGAACAGCAAGGCCACCUUGGCUAUGGAGCAGACAGUGGACCUGAAAUUGCAACAAGAAACAGGUACACACACACACACACACUCAGGGGAGAAACCCCUUCACCAGGGGCUUCUACCCCACGCACGGGGUCCCCUCCUCAGCCGGAGGGCACCCCAGUUCCACCCGCACGCAAGGGGAACCCUUGAAAACUUCAGGGCUAAGCCCCAUCUCACCUCCACGCACGGGGUCCUCUCCUCAGCUGGAGGGCACCCCAUUUCCACCCGCACGCAAGGGGAACCCUCGAAAACUUCAGGGCUAAGCCCCAUCUCACCUCCACGCACGGGGUCCCCUCCUCAGCCGGAGGGCACCCCAGUUCCACCCGCACGCAAGGGGAACCCU
ensembl:lncRNA